rnacentral:lncRNA from 1 species
GGGGCUGCAAGGAGGAAAAUUGAAUGGGUUUAAGCCCAAGAAAGAUGGGGUGCGAUCCAGCAGAAUAAGGGGGUGCAGAACAGGUUUUUGUUUGUUUUUGGUCGGCCCAGUGGUCCAAACAGAAAAUAAAGGGGGCGGCGAAAAUGUGAAACAGGGGGGGUGCCAGAGGAAAGUGUUGCCUUUUAUGUUGGACCCAGAUCCGGCCCAGGAUCCCACUCUAACUCAGAAAGGCAGGGGUUUCCUCAUUCUUCCCAUUCUCAUUCAUUCAAGAAAAUAGAAGAGACCUAGGGUCUCUCCUCUCCCAGGCGCGGCACACACACCGGUUUCCUCUUCUCCAAACGGCAGCUGCCCUCCGGCGGGACCCAUGGCGACACCGGCGUCCUCACCACCAUCCGGCCAGCCACCGCAGGCCGCGACGGCCUCACCCUCUCUCCUUCUUUUCUUCGUGAACGACGCCACCAAGCCAGGGCCGCCACUCUCCGUCAAACUCUCGCCGGCCACCGCUCCAGCUCUGGCCUCGCCGGCGCCACCACACCUUCGAGAGAGAGCAGCGAUUUCACAUCCUCCGCCACCAAACUACCGGAGCUACCGCCAGCUUAGACGCGAAACCCCCCUUUCCCCUUUCUCGCGUGAGAACAGGGAAGCGUCGUGCUUCCUUCCUUCAACCGGCCACCACCGCGAGCCGCCGUCGUCACAGAAACAAUGACCCCGUCGGACCAAAACUGAGAAACCACCGCGCCUCCGGAAGUCCACGCGAACUCCAGUCGUCGCAGCCACAGCGAUCACCACGUGAAUCUCUUCUAUNCAAAUCUCUGUUUUANUACACACUCAUUCNAUAUNGGAGUGGGAUUCUCACAUUUAUGGGAUUUUUCAUGUUCUUGCUGUUUUUCUUGUUUGGGCGCUUGCAGGUUAUAGGCCAUGAAUCACUUGGUUUCAAGGAGGAUUUGGCAUAUAGAGUGNCGUUGUUGAAUUUCUUAGUUUUUGAUUGCCUUACAGCUUUGUAGUGUGUUUUCUAGG